CUGUAGUACCGAUGAUUUGUUAUCCAUAGCCAUUUUUGUAACCAACUGUGAUGCUGUCACGGCCAUAUGGUCAUUGUUUUCUUUGACAUUAUAUUAUAUCAACCAAAUAAAUUAACAUAACAAAAAGAAAAGCAAAAGCGUAUAGACAUUAUAUGUUGAUGCCUUAAUAAUUAAUUAUUAGUCGAAAUUCAUGACGUGUACUCCCUCAGUCCUAUAUAUAAAAACAAAUCUAUGAUGGGACUAUGAAUCUAGAUAGAACUAGGGUAUCUAGAUAGAACUAGGGUUUAGGGCAUAGAUCUGUUUAGGGUUUAGGGUUUUUGGUUUAGGGUUUAGGGUUUAGGGUUUAGGGUUUAUUUUUUUAAGGACGGAUGAACUACUUUCUUCAAGCAUGUCUUGUAUUCGCUUUUUCUUUAAUGAAAGCAUAGCUCGUAUUUCUCGAUGGAGAGAGCAAUUGAAUACAUAGUUGCUGUCGAAGGGCCACGUUUGGAAUUGACUGAUUAGCCACAUGUAAAAUUAGAAACGUUAUUAGAUAUGAUUAAUUGAGUAUUAAUUAGUGAAAUCUUGAAAAAUGGCCUAUUUAGAAAACAUCAUGUCAUUUUGUACUAGCUAAGUGUAUCGAUCACCAUUGAUUUUUCUUGGUGGAACUGUUAUAUUGUACCAGUCACAUAUUUGAUUUGAUUUGAUUUUAAGUGGUUGGCUUGUCAUUGGAGCAUUAGCUCACGUGACAGAUCAGAGAGGCCCAAUCAACUUAAUUAUUCUCUUCUUAUGCGGAUUUUUGUUUGAAAGUAUAUAUAUGGAUAAUUAUACUCCAUUUUAGUAACAAUCAAACGUUGACUCAUUGCACUACACCGUGACCCACUUUUGCCAACACUCCUUUAUGUAGGGAAAAUAUUUGCCAAAAGCUUCGGAAAAAGGGUCUAGGGGAAGAAGCAUAUCUGUGUGCUAUCUCUGAGAUGGUUAGCGGUAAGCAAGUUUCUCGCAUAUCGAGGUUGAGGUAAAAGUUGCUUGACACAUCGUAUUAUUUACUAGUAGAUUAUUCGUAUAAUACGAUUUUUUUUCCGUCAAAGAAUUCGAAUUUUGCAACCCAGUUCAUAAACCACAAAAUAGCAGUGAUAUAGUACUAUACAUAUUGUAACUGAUGGUGUUAUAACCGGCAAUUAUACCUCCAAGCACAAGCAUAAUUGUUACUUACUUUGUUACCACCGGCUAAAAAACCGAUACUGAUAUUUUCAAAACUUCUUGUAUUUCCUUUUUUUACAUAAUAAGCAGCUCGUAUUUCUCAAUAUAGAGAGAGCAAUUAAAUACAGCGUUGUUGUCUAAGACCCCGUCCUAAAGUGCUUUUUGAAAUGGCCGAUUAGCCACACGUAAAACGAGAAAUUUUAUUAGCAUAUGAUUAACUGAGUAUUACUUCAUUCAUUACAUUUUGCUCAUCUCAUAAUAAUCAUUAUAUAAGAGGUGUCAAUUCGUUUAUUUCUGUAGAGUAAAUAUCAUGAUUAUAUGUCUAUUUGUUUAUUUAUAUACAAGUAAAUACUAUGGUUGCAUGUCAGUUCGUUUAUCACUGCAGGAGUAAAAAUGAUAUCGUUGCAUAUCCACAUACAUGCUAACAUAACGUUUUGAUCGAUGAGGUUUAAUUUAAAAGGAAAGAUUUUUUUUCUUGUCUUGGCCUCAAUACCAUUCGCAAAUAUGAUGAGAUGUAGGAAGUAAUUAUUGAAAACUUUAAAACUAGAUUUGUUUCAUUUUUAAAAUAACCUUUUAUAUAGAAAAUUUUCAUACAAACGGUGUCGUUUAGCGGUUCGAAAAAAGCGUACGUAUACGGUAAGAAGAUCGAAUUAAUUAACCUUUGGUCAACUGCGUUAUGUCGCAAACAUUGACGGAGUCAUAGACGGCGUGGCCGUCGCGGAGGGCCUCGCCGAGGAGCCCCUUCUCCUCGACGGGGUCAAGGGUGAUCGCCGGCGCGAGGUCGGUGAUCCGCACGCGCCACUCGCCGGAGCGGAGCAGCGCCGCCACGAGGUGCCUCGCCAUGAAGCCGCGGCCACCGGUCACCGCGCACCACCGAGCUGCGGGCUCUUCUUCCUGCAGCCGGCGGCCGCCACUACAACCGUUCGCGGCCGGCGCCGUUUCCAUCGCUCUUGCUCGAAAGAAACAAGGGAGGGAUAUAUAGCUAGCUAGUAAUAGCUAAUGGUCGUAUUGUGUAUAGUGCGGUGAUCGAUUAGUGUGCUGCCGGCCGGUAUAGCUGCAUUAUCGUUUAUUUAUAGGCACGGCGCUGUACAUAGAAAUUGCCGCGCGUGGUUCAAAAUAUAAAAUGAGACCCUACUGUUAGGUAUUAUCAACAACCAGAAUAAAACAGAAUAGUAAAUUAACAGAACAAAACAGAAUAUAGUGCAUUUUACGUUAGGCAGAUAUGUACAUUUUAAUAAAUUACGGCAUUGACUUUUACGUGUGCGUGUUGGACCAUUCAUAUUAUUUAACAAUACGUAAGAUAUAUGAAUAAUGAUUAAAAUAUUUUUAUGAUAAAGUAACUGAGCCAAACAAAAUAAUUUUUAAUCAUGCAUGUACUUUUUUAAAUUAUAAAAGAAAUUAUCAAUCAUGUAUCCAAAAGUUAACGGCCAUGCUAUCUGUUAAAAAACGAAGGCAGGUAGUUUGUUCAUCAAAGUUACACACAAUAGACCAGUCUAUACUUACUUUUUUCACUAAACGGUAAAGACCAUGAAGAAUUGUGUCUUGAUCCAGUGAUUUAUUUCUUUAGUGAUUUAUUUCUUUUGUAAAGCAGGAAAAAAAUCUGUAAUUCCUAGCACAUACGUUGACAGCAGCGUUAUGAGACCAGUGGUGUUUGAUUGAGUUUUAAUUAUUGCAAACUUGAAAAUUGAUUAAUCUGAUAUUUUAGAACAACUUUCAUAUAGAAAGUUUUCGCAUGAAACGCACCGUUUAGCAGUUUAAAAAACGUGACACGAAUAUUCAAAACUUUAUCCAGUUUUUGAAGUGGAAACUAACGGAGAUAUAGUUGUUUAAAGUGGUCCUGUUAUCGCCGAACAUUUAACCGAGUUCAAGAGAAAAAAGCCCGUUCUAAAUAGAUAACUAAAGUAGGAAGAUCAAAACUUUUGAAAAAUGGAAAGAUAUAUUUUUAAACAUGUUAAACCUUAUAAUUAGCAUAGACCACUACUAAAAAAGUAUUUUUCCAUGUGGUUGGGAUACCUGUCUACCGAGAAAAGUUUGCGGAAAUAGCGGUAUUUCCAUGCGAUGCCUAUGUGAGCCGCAUCCAAAAAUAAAAUUCCAAAAAGAGAUAAAAAUCUCAAAAUUGAAAAACUGAAAUCCUAGCUAGCCCAGUGCCAGCCGUCGCCCGCCUCCAAGCACGGCCGCUGCCCACCAACCGUUGCCACUCCCGAGGUUGGAGGAUGC
rnacentral:sRNA from 1 species